rnacentral:rRNA from 1 species
GACGAACGCUGGCGGCGUGCUUAACACAUGCAAGUCGAACGGAAAGGCCCUGCUUUUGUGGGGUGCUCGAGUGGCGAACGGGUGAGUAACACGUGAGUAACCUGCCCUUGACUUUGGGAUAACUUCAGGAAACUGGGGCUAAUACCGGAUAGGAGCUCCUGCUGCAUGGUGGGGGUUGGAAAGUUUCGGCGGUUGGGGAUGGACUCGCGGCUUAUCAGCUUGUUGGUGGGGUAGUGGCUUACCAAGGCUUUGACGGGUAGCCGGCCUGAGAGGGUGACCGGCCACAUUGGGACUGAGAUACGGCCCAGACUCCUACGGGAGGCAGCAGUGGGGAAUAUUGCACAAUGGGCGGAAGCCUGAUGCAGCAACGCCGCGUGCGGGAUGACGGCCUUCGGGUUGUAAACCGCUUUCGCCUGUGACGAAGCGUGAGUGACGGUAAUGGGUAAAGAAGCACCGGCUGACUACGUGCCAGCAGCCGCGGUGAUACGUAGGGUGCGAGCGUUGUCCGGAUUUAUUGGGCGUAAAGGGCUCGUAGGUGGUUGAUCGCGUCGGAAGUGUAAUCUUGGGGCUUAACCCUGAGCGUGCUUUCGAUACGGGUUGACUUGAGGAAGGUAGGGGAGAAUGGAAUUCCUGGUGGAGCGGUGGAAUGCGCAGAUAUCAGGAGGAACACCAGUGGCGAAGGCGGUUCUCUGGGCCUUUCCUGACGCUGAGGAGCGAAAGCGUGGGGAGCGAACAGGCUUAGAUACCCUGGUAGUCCACGCUGUAAACGGUGGGUACUAGGUGUGGGGUCCAUUCCACGGGUUCCGUGCCGUAGCUAACGCUUUAAGUACCCCGCCUGGGGAGUACGGCCGCAAGGCUAAAACUCAAAGGAAUUGACGGGGCCCCGCACAAGCGGCGGAGCAUGCGGAUUAAUUCGAUGCAACGCGUAGAACCUUACCUGGGUUUGACAUGGAUCGGGAGUGCUCAGAGAUGGGUGUGCCUCUUUUGGGGUCGGUUCACAGGUGGUGCAUGGCUGUCGUCAGCUCGUGUCGUGAGAUGUUGGGUUAAGUCCCGCAACGAGCGCAACCCUUGUUCACUGUUGCCAGCACGUUAUGGUGGGGACUCAGUGGAGACCGCCAGGGUCAACUCGGAGGAAGGUGGGGAUGACGUCAAGUCAUCAUGCCCCUUAUGUCCAGGGCUUCACGCAUGCUACAAUGGCUGGUACAGAGAGUGGCGAGCCUGUGAGGGUGAGCGAAUCUCGGAAAGCCGGUCUCAGUUCGGAUUGGGGUCUGCAACUCGACCUCAUGAAGUCGGAGUCGCUAGUAAUCGCAGAUCAGCAACGCUGCGGUGAAUACGUUCCCGGG